CACGCCCUCAGCGACGGUCGGGCGGGGCCACCGCGCAGGCGCAGGAGGGCGGAGCGCGGCCCCGCAGCUGCAGCGCGGGGAGCUGUUGCCGGCCGUUAGGACCGUUACCCGCGGCACCUGCCCGCCCAGCGACGGCGUCUGUGGGCUCGGUGCGUUUCCCGCCGCUUCGGGGGAGGGGGCUGAGCUCGGCUCAGGGGCGACUGCUUUAAAGGUUGUAAGGUUUCUGCAUUAAAAAGGGCUGCACAGUUCUGCAAAACCUGAGUAAGCUGUGGGACUUCUGACAGCAGCCACAUAUGGGAAGGACAGACAUAAGCAACAAGAACACAUGAAAAAAAGUUACACUUGAGAAUGAGCAUUAGAAAAGACAAGCCAGAAGGAGAAGGCAAUAAACCUAAGAAGAACAGUGCAAAGAGAAGAUUUCUGAAGAGGAAACAACCUACAUUGUCAUAGAGUUCUGCUUAAACCAUGGGCAUCAUCGCCAGAGAAAUACAAAAACUUUGAACUGACAGUGUGACUGCAUUCAGGAAGUACCAGGUAAAAGCCAUCUGGAUGGGACAAUACAACAUCAGGGAGAAAAUAAAGAACAGAGGAAAGAAUUUAAUAACUCUAACAAAUGUCAUGCCUUUGCUUGAAGAAGUGAGCAAGCAUUGAAAAGGGUCAUUACUAGACAACAAUAAUGCUUAACGAUACUUCCCAAGAGACAUACAUUGGAAAUAAUAGCACUAUCUUAUAUUUCUUCCACAGAGCUGAAAACCCAUUUUCUGACUUCUCUCUUGCGUGUGUGCAUAGAUAUAAUAUAAAUACACAUUCAUGUACAAAGUAUAUACAUAUGUAUAGCAUAUAUAGUAUACACAUGCAUAUAAGACAUGUAUAAACUAUAUAUAUACAUAAUUGUUACUGACAAGCCUUCUGUGGUUCACUACAACUACUGAGGAGAAAAACCUACUAUGCUAUAAUGUCCUUUUGUUGUUUUGUCUCUUUCAGGGCAGGGGGGUAGUUGCUCAAUGUUUCUGCAUAACAAAACACAUUUUCCUGCACAGUCACAAGAGAAAAAAGUCACACAAAAUAUUAUGGCUCUUAUUAAGAGCAAAUCCAUUAAGACAAGUUCAUAUGCUCUAGAAAACCAUUGCAGCUCCAACCUUGAGUCUUUCUUCAAGAAGAAUUAGGAGAAGGUCUUUACCCAGUCAUCAGGUUUUCCAUCCAGAGCUUGAAAAUGCUUACCAGAAAAUGAAACUGGGCAUUCCUCUUAAGGGGAUUAUCCUGUGUGGUAUUUAUAGCUUGCCCUAGGUAUCUCUCCUCCUUUGUGCCCUUUAUUGAUAGAGCAUCCUCAUUUGUGCUUCAGAUACAUUAAUUUAGGGCAAUGUGGGCCUAAUUUCAUGCAUAGCAAUGUGGACACAGGUAAUGUUUUACUAAGGUGUCCAGGAGUCCUAUCUUAGGUCAGUGAAGACCUAAAAUUAAGCCAUGCACAGAGAGCAGACUAUUUUAUCAGAUUUGAAUCCUGUGAAAACCAGGGAAUCCCAUGGCCAAACAAAUAGUGUGCAUUGACAUUAAACAGAAAACAAAAUCAUUCCAGUCAGUAAGGACAUUUGUUCUGUGAUUUUGUGGAGGGUUUUUUUCUUGUAUUUUUCCUUUUCUCUGAUAUGACAAACCUAUUCCUUAUAAAUACUAUAAGGAAAUUAGUCUUAAUCAUUACUUCUCCUCAACCCAUGUUUCAAUAAUAUCUCUAAGGAGUUAACUGUUGCACUAGUCUGAAAGUGUUAUGUAGGCAUAUCACAAUAUUGGUUUAUUUUUCUUGCUACCCACAAGUAUAUUAUUUCAGAAUUAUUUAAGCAAGGAAAUCUCCCUGGAUUUUGUGUUCUUUCUGUGCAAGUAUCAAGACAUCCUGCAAAUAUUUUAUCAGCUAUAAAAUCUGUUAUCAGGAAUGCCAAAUCAUUUUCAGAUGAAUGUAUUUCCCUUUAUUCCACUGAACAAACUCAGCCUGAAUUUUAGCCUGCACAGAAAUUGUGAUCCAGGGCGAUUUUGCACUAUUCUACAGCAAUAUGUUUAACUGUAUGGAAUUGUUUAAGUGCAACAUCACUUUUUUAAUGAGCCUACUUCAGCAUCUUACAGACAUGGUCUACAAAGGCAUAUUUCUCAAGACUGGAGAGGUAUGGACAGAAAAGGACAGAUGGUAUCUCUGCAGAGGGGCACAUUAGUAAGGAGCCCCUGGGAAGAAAGGAAGGAACAGUGGUAGGACUAGGCUUGGAGAUGAAGUUGGAAGCAGUGGUAAGGCGGCAAUGCCCAAGUGACUGAUCACAGUACACUCAACCAGAGACAAUCCCCAGGAAACACCUACCCAGCUCUCAGGGAUUGCCCUGCGAAGGAAACAGGGGCGAAGGUCUGAAUGGCAGCUGUGCAGCUCCCUGUGGCAGAUCCCUGCCCUGUCUGACUCGAAUCUGCUCACCGCUGCUCCAUCCCCCCCCACCUGGGCCUGCCCCCACUGCUUCUUCCUGGCAGUGCUCCCAGCAGAUAAUCCGAAGCAACAUACUGCUGCCUCAGGAUACAGACCCUAUUGCACUCAGGGCACACUUCUAAAUUUUAGACCUGUCAUUGUAAGGCCUGUUAGCAGAAAAGUUAUAUUUAUUCCUGCAAGAAUCAAAGUACAGAUCUAAAAGAUAAAGUGUGAUUUAUCUAUCAGGGUUUUUUAAUGAACUGUCAGCCAUCAAUGAGCAGAUAUAGAAGUAGCAAAAUGUUCUGUUCACUGUGUUUUCUUUGUGGUGUUAGGUAAAAAAAGAAAAUGACUUCACCAGCACUGAUUCUGAAAAUAUUUUUCUACUCCUUACAAAUGGCGUAGUAUGGUAGAAGUUUGUCAUCAUUAAAACCAGCUACAAUAAAGUAACUAAACACAAAA